rnacentral:rRNA from 1 species
GGUGAGUAACACGUGGGUGAUCUGCCCUGCACUUACGGGAUAAGCUUGGGAAACUGGGUCUAAUACCGGAUAGGAGCCAUCUUUAGUGUGGUGGUUGGAAAGUUUUUCGGUGUAGGAUGAGCUCGCGGCCUAUCAGCUUGUUGGUGGGGUAAUGGCCUACCAAGGCGGCGACGGGUAACCGGCCUGAGAGGGUGUACGGCCACAUUGGGACUGAGAUACGGCCCAG